rnacentral:rRNA from 1 species
UACGUAGGUGGCGAGCGUUGUCCGGAUUUACUGGGCGUAAAGAGCGCGCAGGCGGCUGGUCAAGUCCGAUGUGAAAGCUCCCGGCUUAACUGGGAAAUUGCAUCGGAAACUGAUCGGCUGGAAGGUGGGAGAGGGUAGCGGAAUUCCCGGUGUAGUGGUGAAAUGCGUAGAUAUCGGGAGGAACACCAGUGGCGAAAGCGGCUACCUGGCCCAUUCUUGACGCUGAGGCGCGAAAGCUAGGGAGCAAACGGG